rnacentral:rRNA from 1 species
AUGUGCAUCCCCAAGGAAAGAGGGGGUAAGGGCUUUCGCGACAUUCAUAGCUUUAACUUUGCGCUCCUACAAAAUGUCUGGAGACUUAUUGAGCAUCAUGACUCUUUGUGCGCAAGGUUGCUCCGAUCUAAAUACUACCCAACGAGAGAGUUGCUAAACUGCGGCCUGAAGAAGGGGGCCUCCUUUGUAUGGCAGAGCAUAUGGGCAGGAGCCCAAACUUUUAAGCAAGGUUGUAUUUGGAGGGUUGGUAACAGCUUAAAGUUAAAUAUAUGGGAGGACUGCUGGAUUCCUAAUAGUUCCUCCAGGAAAAUUGUGAUGCCUCGAGGAAAUAGAGUUCUUGCUCGUGUCAAUGAACUUAUUGACCCAACGUCCGGGGAGUGGGAUGAACAGCUCAUCAGAGAUAACUUCUGGCCCAUUGACGCUGAUCGGAUAUUAUAG